rnacentral:rRNA from 1 species
AUUGAACGCUGGCGGCAGGCUUAACACAUGCAAGUCGAGCGGAGAUGAGGUGCUUGCACCUUAUCUUAGCGGCGGACGGGUGAGUAAUGCUUAGGAAUCUGCCUAUUAGUGGGGGACAACAUUCCGAAAGGAAUGCUAAUACCGCAUACGCCCUACGGGGGAAAGCAGGGGAUCUUCGGACCUUGCGCUAAUAGAUGAGCCUAAGUCGGAUUAGCUAGUUGGUGGGGUAAAGGCCUACCAAGGCGACGAUCUGUAGCGGGUCUGAGAGGAUGAUCCGCCACACUGAGACUGAGACACGGCCCAGACUCCUACGGGAGGCAGCAGUGGGGAAUAUUGGACAAUGGGCGGAAGCCUGAUCCAGCCAUGCCGCGUGUGUGAAGAAGGCCUUUUGGUUGUAAAGCAUUUUAAGCGAGGAGGAGGCUACCUGGAUUAAUACUCUAGGAUAGUGGACGUUACUCGCAGAAUAAGCACCGGCUAACUCCGUGCCAGCCGCCGCAGUAAAAC